GACGAACGCUGGCGGCGUGCUUAACACAUGCAAGUCGAACGGAAAGGCCCUGCUUUUGUGGGGUGCUCGAGUGGCGAACGGGUGAGUAACACGUGAGUAACCUGCCCUUGACUUUGGGAUAACUUCAGGAAACUGGGGCUAAUACCGGAUAGGAGCUCCUGCUGCAUGGUGGGGGAUGGAAAGUUUCGGCGGUUGGGGAUGGACUCGCGGCUUAUCAGCUUGUUGGUGGGGUAGUGGCUUACCAAGGCUUUGACGGGUAGCCGGCCUGAGAGGGUGACCGGCCACAUUGGGACUGAGAUACGGACCAGACUGCUACGGGAGGCAGCAGUGGGGAAUAUUGCACAAUGGGCGGAAGCCUGAUGCAGCAACGCCGCGUGCGGGAUGACGGCCUUCGGGUUGUAAACCGCUUUCGCCUGUGACGAAGCGUGAGUGACGGUAAUGGGUAAAGAAGCACCGGCUAACUACGUG
rnacentral:rRNA from 1 species